CACGAGACCAAAUUAAUCUAAGAACCUGUUGCAAGAGCAAAUGCUGUGAAGGCAAGAUGGAGGUGUCCCUCGGGGCCCAGUGGCUUCUCAGUGAAUGGGCUUCCAUUCUUCUUUUCUUCUUGACCAGCCUAAAAACAAGAGGCUGGCCUCACAGAGGAUUCUUCUUAGAAGAUAUUGCAGAGCCACUUAUAAGACCAACAGAGUUGGCUGAGAAGGAGGGUGCUGAAGAAGGGGUUGAAGAAGGUGCU
rnacentral:lncRNA from 1 species